GACGAACGCUGGCGGCGUGCCUAAUACAUGCAAGUAGAACGCUGAAGGAGGAGCUUGCUUCUCUGGAUGAGUUGCGAACGGGUGAGUAACGCGUAGGUAACCUGCCUGGUAGCGGGGGAUAACUAUUGGAAACGAUAGCUAAUACCGCAUAAUAGUAGAUGUUGCAUGACAUUUGCUUAAAAGGUGCAAUUGCAUCACUACAAGAUGGACCUGCGUUGUAUUAGCUAGUUGGUGGGGUAACGGCUCACCAAGGCGACGAUACAUAGGCGGCCUGAGAGGGUGAUCGGCCACACUGGGACUGAGACACGGCCCAGACUCCUACGGGAGGCAGCAGUAGGGAAUCUUCGGCAAUGGACGGAAGUCUGACCGAGCAACGCCGCGUGAGUGAAGAAGGGUUUCGGAUCGUAAAGCUCUGUUGUAAGAGAAGAACGAGUGUGAGAGUGGAAAGUUCACACUGUGACGGUAUCUUACCAGAAAGGGACGGCUAACUACGUG
rnacentral:rRNA from 1 species